rnacentral:lncRNA from 1 species
GGAGGAGGAGAAGGGGGAGGGGAGGAAAGGAACAGGGAGACGGAUUUGGGGAUCCUGGCUGGAAGCGAUCUCUAAACCAGCUGGAGGAUUCGCUUCUCCUGCUGGUCGGACUGGGUGACUUGGAAGCUCUGGGUAGAGGUGGUGGAUCUCGGCCUAGUUUGUUUGCUCAAAUAGAACUCUACUAGAGGAAAUCAAUCAAUCUGCAGAAAAAAAAACAAAAAAAAUGGAAGUAGGAGUUUGGGGAGAGUUGUCACUUCCCCAACGGGAGAGUCGCUGGCUUGGGGCGGAGACUUGGGACCAAAGAGAGGCCCUUCUCAACCAUCUCAGCUCCUUUCACAGGACUUCCAGAAGGAAGAUUGCACCUUCUCCCGGCUUCUUCCCCUACUCCCAUCUUGCUCGCCUGCCAGACUGUACCUCCUUACCCUAGGAGCCAGAGAAGCCAGGUUCCCGAGCCCAAGAAGUCUGCUCCCACGCCCCUCCCGCUCCCACGCCUCCCCCACCCCCCUCCAGCUAUCGCCACUGCCACCACCUCGGUUCCACUCAAUCGAUUUUUGCUGCAUGUCAACACUUAUUACCGUUAGUCGUUCAUGAGUAGCUUCAUGAGGACCUGACGCCUUCUGCCAUCAGCUAUGCCAGUGAUGUUAGGACUGGAUUCUCCAGCUCGCCACAUAACUUUAGCCGUAGCCAAGAGCUUAACUGCAUGCUUCUGAGAGUCCCAGAGCAAGAACUGCCCAGCUAAGCUGCUCCCACAUUCCUGGC